rnacentral:rRNA from 1 species
AUUGAACGCUGGCGGCAUGCCUUACACAUGCAAGUCGAACGGCAGCACGGGAGCAAUCCUGGUGGCGAGUGGCGAACGGGUGAGUAAUAUAUCGGAACGUGCCCAGUCGUGGGGGAUAACGCAGCGAAAGCUGUGCUAAUACUGCAUACGAUCUACGGAUGAAAGCGGGGGAUCGCAAGACCUCGCGCGAUGGGAGCGGCCGAUAUCAGAUUAGCUAGUUGGUGGGGUAAAGGCCCACCAAGGCGACGAUCUGUAGCUGGUCUGAGAGGACGACCAGCCACACUGGAACUGAGACACGGUCCAGACUCCUACGGGAGGCAGCAGUGGGGAAUUUUGGACAAUGGGCGCAAGCCUGAUCCAGCAAUGCCGCGUGCAGGAUGAAGGCCUUCGGGUUGUAAACUGCUUUUGUACGGAACGAAACGGCGAGCUCUAAUAAAGCUUGCUAAUGACGGUACCGUAAGAAUAAGCACCGGCUAACUACGUGCCAGCCGCCGCAGUAAGAC